rnacentral:rRNA from 1 species
CUGUAAGCCUGUGAAGGUGUACUGUGAGGUAUGCUGGAGGUAUCAGAAGUGCGAAUGCUGACAUAAGUAACGAUAAAGCGGGUGAAAAGCCCGCUCGCCGGAAGACCAAGGGUUCCUGUCCAACGUUAAUCGGGGCAGGGUGAGUCGACCCCUAAGGCGAGGCCGAAAGGCGUAGUCGAUGGGAAACAGGUUAAUAUUCCUGUACUUGGUGUUACUGCGAAGGGGGGACGGAGAAGGCUAUGUUGGCCGGGCGACGGUUGUCCCGGUUUAAGCGUGUAGGCUGGUUUUCCAGGCAAAUCCGGAAAAUCAAGGCUGAGGCGUGAUGACGAGGCACUACGGUGCUGAAGCGACAAAUGCCCUGCUUCCAGGAAAAGCCUCUAAGCAUCAGGUAACAUCAAAUCGUACCCCAAACCGACACAGGUGGUCAGGUAGAGAAUACCAAGGCGCUUGAGAGAACUCGGGUGAAGGAACUAGGCAAAAUGGUGCCGUAACUUCGGGAGAAGGCACGCUGAUAUGUAGGUGAAGUCCCUCGCGG